rnacentral:rRNA from 1 species
GAUGAACGCUAGCGGCAGGCCUAAUACAUGCAAGUCGGACGGGAUCUAGGAGCUUGCUCCUGGUGAGAGUGGCGCACGGGUGCGUAACACGUAUGUAACCUACCUUUAUCAGGGGGAUAGCCUCUCGAAAGAGAGAUUAACACCGCAUAACAUCACGAUGAAGCAUUUCAAUGUGAUCAAAUAUUUAUAGGAUAAGAUGGGCAUGCGGGACAUUAGCUAGUUGGCGGGGUAACGGUCCACCAAGGCGACGAUGUCUAGGGGAUCUGAGAGGAUGACCCCCCACACUGGUACUGAGACACGGACCAGACUCCUACGGGAGGCAGCAGUAAGGAAUAUUGGUCAAUGGACGCAAGUCUGAACCAGCCAUGCCGCGUGCAGGAAGACGGCCCUACGGGUUGUAAACUGCUUUUGUACCGGAAUAAACCCUUUUACGAGUAGAAGGCUGAAUGUACGGUAAGAAUAAGGAUCGGCUAACUCCGUGCCAGCCGCCGCAGUAA